rnacentral:rRNA from 1 species
UACGUAGGUGGCAAGCGUUGUCCGGAAUUAUUGGGCGUAAAGCGCGCGCAGGCGGUCCUUUAAGUCUGAUGUGAAAGCCCACGGCUCAACCGUGGAGGGUCAUUGGAAACUGGGGGACUUGAGUACAGAAGAGAAGAGUGGAAUUCCACGUGUAGCGGUGAAAUGCGUAGAGAUGUGGAGGAACACCAGUGGCGAAGGCGGCUUCCUGGCCUGUUCUUGACGCUGAGGCGCGAAAGCUAGGGGAGCAAACGGG